CCUACGGGGGGCUGCAGUGAGGAAUAUUGGUCAAUGGGCGCGAGCCUGAACCAGCCAAGUCGCGUGAAGGAAGACGGUUUUCGGAUUGUAAACUUCUAUCAAUAGGGAAGAAAGAAAUGACGGUACCUAAAUAAGAAGCCCCGGCUAACUACGUGCCAGCAGCCGCGGUAAUACGUAGGGGGCAAGCGUUAUCCGGAAUUACUGGGUGUAAAGGGAGAGUAGGCGGCAAGGUAAGCGAUAUGUGAAAGCCUUAAGCUUAACUAAAGGAUUGCAUAACGAACUAUCUAGCUAGAGUACAGGAGAGGAAAGCGGAAAUUCUGGUGUAGCGGGGAAAGUCGUAGAUAUUAGGAAGAACACCAGUGGCGAAGGCGGCUUUCUGGACUGAAACUGACGCUGAGGCUCGAAAGCGUGGGGAGCGAACAGGAUUAGAUACCCCUGUAGUC
rnacentral:rRNA from 1 species